rnacentral:tRNA from 1 species
GGGAUAUAGCUUGGUUGGUAGAGUGUUUGUCUGGCAUACAUAUGGCCCUGGAAUCAAUCCCCAGCAUCACCA